AUUUUGUUUCCAAAAAAAAAUAUAUGUAAAGCGAUUGCCUUAGAGUUGUGCACUUCUCUGCGUUUUGGUGUUCUGUUCAUGGGAAGAUAAUAAAACUGCAUGAAUCCUUCUUCAAUAAUAGGAGAUAGGACCCCCAAACCCAAUGGGAAGAAGGGUGAAAGGAAAGUGAAUCAUGUUUACCAGUUCAACACACUCAAACUUCAACUAACUGUUUACUUCCUUUUUGUGUGUUUGGAAAUAUUUUCAGCUCCACCAGAAAUCACAGUGGAAAAGUCCUGACUGCAUGCAGUGGAAGGAUACGAUAUUGAAUUGGUGUGCAUUGUCCACGGGGAUGUUAAUUCCGAGAUGAACGAAACGUAUCAGCAUCCUGGUAAGUGGCACGAGUUCCACAUCAAACCGAUACCAAUGAGGACCGAUGCCAGCCAUUUUAUAAUGUGGUGUGUCAUAAAAAUUUUUGUACAUUAUGCUGUGUACGAGACGAUUGUGCAGGCGAAAAAUCGAUGUGAAUGGAAUGAGCAACUGUCAAACACUGUCCAAAGCCAGAAUGUCCCAAGGGCAUGCAAAUUGAAAUCAUCGAACAGUCUGCUACCAGGGAAAUGUCUGAAAUAUUUAAGACAACAUCGUAAGAAAUAUAAUAUAAAUGUCAGCAAUUCAGCAAAGAAAAUAUGUUUGCUGAAUUCACCUUUUAAAGUCAUAGCACUUUUCUAACAUGACUCAAUCACUUUUUUGUACAUUCAGCUACGUGUUCCAAGCAUUAAAUAUGACAUCAAAAUGGAAGGUGGCGACUGCAAUGGAGAUCCCGACAAUGAUCUCCGUAUGAAACCAGCUAAAAGAAGGCCUUGGAAAUCAACCCCAUCGGCUAUACAAUACUGCGACAUUGUUGAAAGCUGGAAGGCAGGAUUGGGUUUGAGUGAAGAUGUCGCCAUAAAUGAGUGAAUACCUCCUCCACCUGAGAAAGAUCCAUGUUUCAUUGUGAUGAUGGUUCCAUGGUUGUCAGGGAUAUUCAAAUUCCGUCCUCAUGUGGUUGUAGUGCUUGCUCAGACUCUCAAGAUUACAGUUCAAUGAUUGAUAUUCGUAUGUCAGGAACUAACAAAGGCAAAGCUCUGAUAAAGCGGUUAAUAAAUGAAUUAAAUACACUUUGUUAAAAAAUAUUUUGUAAAUAUUAGCUUUUAAUAAAUUUGCAAUUG